GCGAUAAAACAAUUCAUUCUACAAUUUGACCUCAAAUCAGGUGAGACUACCCGCUGAACUUAAGCAUAUCAAUAAGCGGAGGAAAAGAAACCAACAGGGAUUGCCUUAGUAACGGCGAGUGAAGUGGCAAAAGCUCAAAUUUGAAAUCUGGCGCCUUUGGUGUCCGAGUUGUAAUUUGAAGAAGGUAACUUUGAGAUUGGCCCUUGCAUAAGUUCCUUGGAACAGGACGUCAUAGAGGGUGAGAAUCCCGUUUAUGGUGAGGUGCCCAAUUUCUUGUAAAGUGCUUUCGAAGAGUCGAGUUGUUUGGGAAUGCAGCUCUAAGUGGGUGGUAAAUUCCAUCUAAGGCUAAAUAUUGGCGAGAGACCGAUAGCGAACAAGUACAGUGAUGGAAAGAUGAAAAGAACUUUGAAAAGAGAGUGAAAAAGUACGUGAAAUUGUUGAAAGGGAAGGGCAUAAGAUCAGACUUGGUAUUCAGUGAUCAACUUUCUUUCGGGAUUGUGCACUCGCUGUUUACUGGGCCAAUAUCAGUUUUGGUGGUAGGAUAAUGAUUUAGGAAUGUGGCUCCUCGGAGUGUUAUAGCCUAGGUUGAUACUACCUACCGGGACUGAGGACAGCGCUUUUGCUAGGAUAUUGGCGUAAUGAUCUUAUGCCACCCGUCUUGAAACACGGACCAAGGAGUCUAACGUCUAUGCAAGUGUUUGGGUGUAAAACCCGUACGCGUAAUGAAAGUGAACGUAGGUGAGAGCCCCUUGGGGUGCAUCAUCGACCGAUCCUGAUGUCUUCGGAUGGAUUUGA
rnacentral:rRNA from 1 species